GACACCGUGGCCGAGCGGUUAAGGCGAUUGACUAGAAAUCAAUUGGGUUUAUCCCGCGUAGGUUCGAGUCCUGCCGGUGUCG
rfam:Fragilariopsis cylindrus CCMP1102 unplaced genomic scaffold FRACYscaffold_19, whole genome shotgun sequence.